rnacentral:rRNA from 1 species
UGGGGAAUAUUGCGCAAUGGGCGAAAGCCUGACGCAGCGACGCCGCGUGAGGGAUGAAGGUUUUCGGAUCGUAAACCUCUGUCAGAAGGGAAGAAACCGCACUGUGCUAAUCAGCAGUGCCUUGACGGUACCUUCAAAGGAAGCACCGGCUAACUCCGUGCCAGCAGCCGCGGUAAUACGGAGGGUGCAUGCGUUAAUCGGAAUUACUGGGCGUAAAGCGCACGUAGGCUGCUUUGUAAGUCAGGGGUGAAAUCCCACGGCUCAACCGUGGAACUGCCUUUGAUACUGCUUAGCUUGAAUCCGGGAGAGGGUGGCGGAAUUCCAGGUGUAGGAGUGAAAUCCGUAGAUAUCUGGAGGAACAACAGUGGCGAAGGCGGCCACCUGGACCGGUAUUGACGCUGAGGUGCGAAAGCGUGGGGAGCAAACAGG